UUAUUAGCUGGGUGUACUUCCUAGUGGACAGGCCAACAUCAGUUUUGACCGUCAGAGAAAGGCCAACGGAAUGUGGCACCUUUUCGGAGGUGUGUUAUAGCCGUUGGUUGUAUGUGGUGGUUGGGACUGAGGACAGCAGCGUGCCGCAAGGCCGGGUUUCGACCACGAUCACGCUUUGGAUGUUGGCAUAAUGGCUUUAAGCGACCCGUCUUGAAACACGGACCAAGGAGUCUAACAUGCAUGCGAGUGUUUGGGUGGAAAACCCAAGCGCGUAAUGAAAGUGAAAGUUGAGAUCCUCGUUACUGGGGAGCAUCGACACCCGGACCAGAACUUUUGGGACGGAUCCGCGGUAGAGCAAGUAUGUUGGGACCCGAAAGAUGGUGAACUAUGCCUGAAUAGGGUGAAGCCAGAG
rnacentral:rRNA from 1 species